UACAGAGGGGGCAAGCGUUGUUCGGAAUUACUGGGCGUAAAGGGCGCGUAGGCGGCCGCCUAAGUCAGACGUGAAAUCCCUCGGCUCAACCGGGGAACUGCGUCUGAUACUGGGUGGCUUGAAUUCGGGAGAGGGAUGCGGAAUUCCAGGUGUAGCGGUGAAAUGCGCAGAUAUCAGGAAGAACACCCGUGGCUAAGGCGGCUCUCUAGUACGGUACUGACGCUGAGACGCGAAAGCGUGGGGAGCGAACAGG
rnacentral:rRNA from 1 species